rnacentral:rRNA from 1 species
GGUCUUCGGAUCGUAAAGCCCUGUCGGGAGGGAAGAAGUUCUGACGGUACCUCCCAAGAAAGCACCGGCUAACUCCGUGCCAGCAGCCGCGGUAAUACGGAGGGUGCAAGCGUUGCUCGGAAUUACUGGGCGUAAAGCGUACGCAGGCUGUUCACUAAGUCGGGUGUGAAAUCCCGGGGCUCAACCCCGGAAUUGCGCCCGAAACUGGUGGGCUUGAGUGCGGGAGAGGGAAGCGGAAUUCCUGGUGUAGAGGUGAAAUUCGUAGAUAUCAGGAGGAACACCGGUGGCGAAAGCGGCCUCCUGGCCCGACACUGACGCUCAUGUACGAAAGCGUGGGGAGCAAACAGGAUUAGAUACCCUGGUAGUCCACGCCGUAAACGAUGAGUGCUAGCUGCUGGGAAUGUCUACCGUCUCAGUGGCGAAGCUAACGCAUUAAGCACUCCGCCUGGGAAGUACGGCCGCAAGCUA